CGAGGAACUCCAAUUGCGAAGGCAGCUUACUAAGGUACAACUGACGCUGAAGCACGAAAGCGUGGGUAUCAAACAGGAUUAGAUACCCUGGUAGUCCACGCAGUAAACGAUGAUAACUGGGCGUAUGCGAUAUACAGUAUGCUCCUAAGCGAAAGCGUUAAGUUAUCCACCUGGGGAGUACGCCGGCAACGGUGAAACUCAAAGGAAUUGACGGGGGCCCGCACAAGCGGAGGAACAUGUGGUUUAACUCGAUGAUACGCGAGGAACCUUACCCGGGAUUGAAAUGUAGAUGACAGGCGGUGAAAGCUGCUCUCCCUUCGGGGCAUCUAUGUAGGUGCUGCAUGGUUGUCGUCAGCUCGUGCCGUGAGGUGUCGGCUUAAGUGCCAUAACGAGCGCAACCCCUGUCUACGGUUGCCAUCAGGUGAUGCUGGGGACUCCGUAGAGACUGCCGUCGUAAGGCGUGAGGAAGGUGGGGAUGACGUCAAAUCAGCACGGCCCUUACAUCCGGGGCGACACACGUGUUACAAUGGUAUGGACAGAGGGCAGCCACUUGGCGACAAGGAGCAAAUCCCUAAACCGUAUCACAGUUCGGAUUGGAGUCUGCAACUCGACUCCAUGAAGCUGGAUUCGCUAGUAAUCGCGCAUCAGCCAUGGCGCGGUGAAUACGUUCCCGGGCCUUGUACACACCGCCCGUCAAGCCAUGGGAGUCUGGAGUACCUAAAGUCCGUAACCGCAAGGGUCGGCCUAGGGUAAUACAGGUGACUGGGGCUAAGUCGUAACAAGGUAGCCGUACCGGAAGG
rnacentral:rRNA from 1 species